AACAGGACGUCAYAGAAGGGUGAGAAUCCCGUAYGYGACCGGCGGUCAACCCCAUGUGAGGCCCCUUCGACGAGUCGAGUUGUUUGGGAAUGCAGCUCUAAAUGGGUGGUAAAUUUCAUCUAAAGCUAAAUACCGGCCAGAGACCGAUAGCGCACAAGUAGAGUGAUCGAAAGAUGAAAAGCACUUUGGAAAGAGAGUUAAAAAGUACGUGAAAUUGUUGAAAGGGAAGCGCUUGCAACCAGACUUGCUCGCGGGUGAUCMACCGUCCUUCGGGGCGGUGYACUGWCCCGUGAUCAGGCCAACAUCGGUUUCGGYGGCYSGAUAAAAGGUGCGGGAACGUAGCUCCCUCCGGGGAGUGUUAUAGCCCGKCCCACAAUGGAGUCAGCCGGGACCGAGGACCGCGCUUCGGCUAGGAUGCUGGCGUAAUGGCUGUAAGCGACCCGUCUUGAAACACGGACCAAGGAGUUGAACAWCAAUGCGAGUSUUUGGGUGUCAAACCCAYGCGCGCAAUGAAAGUGAACGGAGGUGGGAACCCCUNCCGGGGCGCACCAUCGACCGAUCCUGAUGUCUUCGGAUGGAUUUGAGUACGAGCGUUGNUUGNCUGACCCGAAAGAUGGUGAACUAUGCCUGAAUAGGGNGAAGCCAGAGGAAACUCUGGUGGAGGCUCGCAGCGGUUNUGACGNGCAAAUCGAUCGUCAAAUUUGCGUAUAGGGGGGAAAGACUAAUCNAACAUCUAAUAGCUGGUUCCAGCCGAAAUUUNCCCUUAGGAUANCAUAACGUUUUCAGUUUUAUGAGG
rnacentral:rRNA from 1 species